GUGCACGCGAGGAUGCCUCCUCGCCAGAUGUUAUUACGGCUCAAGAGCAAAGGGGAGCUAAAUCCGAUAAAGGGAAGGAAAAAGUAGUUGAAUAGCCGUCGAAAUCGCUCGACAACAUUCAAGGUUUCGCUCGUUAGCUAUCGGAUUCGGGAUCAAAGAAGUCGAAGUCAUCCACACUAUCGAAGCCCCAUUUUGGUACAAAUUUUGGUUGAACUUUGAAAUGGCAUGUAUAGGACCAUCCUUUGUUGAAGGUCAUGUACCUUCCGGUUUGUGUAAACUUAGAUAGCCAUGCGAAAAUGGCUUAUAUCGUUUUAGCAUAGAACUAUAAUCGUUUGUAUGUUGACCCUUAUGAGGUAUGGAAUUAUUUUGAAACGAUUAG